AGUAAUAUAAACAGGCAAUUUCUUACUCUGCACAUGCAAUGAUAUAAAAAUACGAAUAGUUCCUUCGGAAAUUGCACGUUUUAACUGCACAUCUCGUUUCCACAAAUUUUCCGUCGUAUUGAUCGCAAAUUUGCUAUGAUUUUGAAUUUCUUGAACAUUUCUUAUUUGUAUUGAUUUAAGCCUGGAAAGUCGGUAGUUUCCUGGUAAUUCAAGCGACAUUCUAUCAUGGUUAAAGCAAUGAAUGCUUUUGCUUCAUCGCAUCGCCCUACUUGGUAAACUCAGCUGAGUCUGGUGCUAGCGU